rnacentral:rRNA from 1 species
UACGGAGGGUGCGAGCGUUGUCCGGAAUUAUUGGGUUUAAAGGGUGCGUAGGCGGCUUAUUAAGUCAGAGGUGAAAUCCCACAGCUUAACUGUGGAACUGCCUUUGAUACUGAUAAGCUUGAGUAUGGUAGAGGUAAGCGGAAUUGAUGGUGUAGCGGUGAAAUGCAUAGAUAUCAUCAAGAACGUCGAUUGCGAAGGCAGCUUACUGGACCAUAACUGACGCUGAGGCACGAAAGCGUGGGUAGCGAAC